ensembl:lncRNA
CUGUAGUUCAGCCCUCACGGGAGUUUGGUAUCCCAGAACGGGUGUGAGUUUAACUUACAAGAGGUACAGUUGUCUAGAGAGGCAAAAGGAGGCAACCAGGAAGAGUCGACUCAGAGAUGGCAGGCUAGAAAGUUACUGGAGGUCUGCUUCUCACUCCUUAGGGAGGGUAACUCAAAGGAAUUUGGUUAUUUCAGUAAUGGGCUUUCAGUGCAGCAAGAAGUAUUUAGGCUAGAUCUUAGGGAAUCCAUCCCAGUAGGGAGACAUGUGAGAUAUUAAAACACACACACACAAGCCUUCUUAGGGAAUUCUCUUCUCAGAAAUCUUAAACCAUGAGAAGCUCAUCUACUUGAGCCUGUAGAAUCUCAUUUGAAGGCCAGGGCCUCCUCCCCAAAAUUCUGGAAGACUGUUGGCUGGAGAUGGGAUCUAGGAUUCUUCUUACCCCAGGGGUAUUAUGGGAAAUGGUUGCCUGGGCUAUUCCUAAGCCAGGGCUAACACCAGCCCCUUGGAAGAGGGAGAGGCACAAAGUGGGCUGGAUCUGUCAGCCCCAGAGAGGCAGCAGAGAUGAGGGGCAGGAUUGUAACAUGCAGGACCCAGUGGCAUUUACAUAAUUUUGAAUAAUGAAUAAGCCCAGCUCUGGGGUUCCUAGUCAGCACUGCUCAUCUGCAUCUUUAUUAAGCUUUAUAAAUGAUUCAGCUCCCCACUCCUUCCUUCAGCCUUGCCCAGCCUGCCCCUGAGCAUCAGGGUAGUUGAUUGCUCAUUAUUUUAGACUAGAUUUGUUUCACCAACAUUCAGUGAGGCAUGGAGUGGGGACACAGGAGGACAGGAGGGAGGAACAAACCCAAAAGAGAGCUGAAUACACCUGAAAGAAGAGGCUGGAGAAGACCCGGCUCUCAACUUGUUGGGCUGGCAGAUUCGGGCUGGUGCUCUGCCAGCUGCUUGGCCUAUGGCUAGAGCCUGGGAGAAAUAUUUAACAGCCUGGUGGUGAAGUUGGCAAGAAACUCCUGGUGGAGAAAAGAGAAUCAAUACUGGAGUAUUUCCUGAUGAAAGGCCAUCAGAUCUGCAGUCGGCCUCAACAUCGGCCAGUGGAGGGAAUGGGGAAGUAGACAGGGCAAGAUUGAUAACUGUUGAGGCUGUGGGAGGGGUAAAGAGGUUUAUUUUAUUACUCCUUUUACUUUUUGUACACAAAGCAAAUAGCAGUAGCUCCUUGAGUGUUUCUGAUAUGCAGCAGAGCCUGGUGUUUAGGAGCAUAGGCUGCCACUGACCUGUGUGAAAGAGAAGAACCAGCUUCUAGGGAGAGACUUGGUUUGGUGGACCCUACAUAAGAGGGGAGGGCCCUGGCCCUAAGCAGUACAGCAGGGCCCACUUGGGGGCAUAAAUAACUGGCAGCUAGAAAUGCAACUCUGGGGCCAAAGGGCUCUGCAGGCUUCUUCCUUGUGUGUCUACCCAACCUCUGGGGACUCAAAACCCUCACACUCCACAAACCAGGCCUAGCAUCUGGCUGGACCCAGGAAAGCCAGCUGCCUGCCUGAGACACCCGACAUGAGCAAUCAGCCUUGUUCUUCUCGUCCUGACUGGCUUUAUAGGAAACCAGAACCCCCACUGCCCUUCCCUACUGCUUCCUGGUGCUGUCAUUCUCUCUGACUGGCUCAUCUGCCUCUGCCAGGGAACAUUAGCCCAGCUGACUUCAUCAGAGAGGUGAAAGGUGGUGUGAACACAUGUCCGUAAAUUCACAGGCAUCCAGGCACUCACAGUUAGGGAAGAAGGUUCCGGUGGCUGCUGCCAGAGCUGUCUGAGCUGCUGAGAGAUUCCCUGGGAACUAGAUCUCAUUUGCAUAUCACUCCUUUAAUAAACAAAUUCAAAUGCACCCCAAAUUUUCAGGUCUCUCCCAUCCUGCACUGGUUGGCUCUUCUCAGGCUUGAUUCACUCACACACCGACCAUUCCCACCAUCUCCAUGAAAAAUAAUUUCCUGCCUCACCAAGGUUAAUGCCCUGACCCCACCCUAGAACUCAGCUCUGCCCUCCACCCAGCCCUGCCGUAGCACCACCAGCUCAGGCCUCUCGCUCAGAUUGGGGCUCAAUCAGUCUUCUCUGCUCCAUUACCUUUCCCCAGUGGCCUCUGGGUUGAGGAGGGGAGAGAGUUGGAGGGGGUCUGCUUAAGAGAUUUUUGGAAUCUGUGCCUGCACAUCACCCGCUGCCAUGAGUUAUUUCAGCGCCGAUGUUUGUCUCGAGCUGAUUAUUCCAGCCUGAGAACAGGUGGAGCAGCCUGCAGUGGCUUAUUCAUCAGCCAAGGCCAUCUGUUUCCAACAAGCUGAGAUUUGUAGCUGAUUUCUACUGGGGAGCAAGGGGUGGGGGUGGGGAGAUGGAGAUCACAUACCCCAGGAGACUUACUCUCCCCAGACCUUCUUGGGUGCCCCUUCUACAGGAAACCUCAUUUUCUCACAGAAACUCCCUGGUCACUGGACUCCUUAGCAAUACUUUUUCCUUAAGGGGCUAAACUUUCUCAGCUGGAACCAGGUAUUAGAAGCACAAAUCUAAUCAGCAAGGCACAAAGUCUGGCCAGUGAGCCACUCCCACCCUUAGAGAUUAUAAAAAAAUCAAAAGGGUGUAACCUCGACACAGAUAUUUUAAAUGACUAUCUAAAUUCCACCACCAUUCCCUUUAGGAACAUGAAUGUCCUCACCUAUACUCAUCACCUGCAGGGCUCCAGGCCACAUGGAACAGAGAGGUCUAGAUACUCUUCUCUCCCUGCCCCUGAUCCUGUCCCCUAAAUACCUGGUUCAAGUUCCACCUUUCAAUCUCUUCCACUCUCAGUCUUGUCAGGAGAUGCCUGCUGCUUUAAGAACAGCUUUCCCCGAGUAAGGGAUCUAAGCAGUUUCUAAGCAGCUUUGCCACAUGGUUUAACCCUCCCCCCCCCAUUUCAUACAGGAAAUGCUGAGAAAGAAGCUACUCUUACAACUACCCUUAUAUGACAAUUUGAGAGACCCUCUUUGGUGUUGGUACACACAUUGGUACUGACUUUUUUUUUGGUACUGGGGAUUGAACCUGGGACCUUGUGCUUGCGAGGCAGGCGGUGGCACCACUGAGCUAAAUCCCUGGAGGUACUGACUUUUAAAAUUGCAUAAAAAUUUGAUAUUAAGAGCACAGAACAAUAAAAAAAGAGCACAGAUACUUUAUCUCUAAUCCCACAUUCCAAAAUAAAAUUUUCUCUCAUAUAUAUGUAUAUAUGAUUAUAUAUAAAGUGUAUAUACAUAUAUAUGUAUAUAUUUUUAGACAGGAUCUCACUAUGUUGCCCAGGUCUGCCCUGAACUCCUGGACUCCUCCUGCCUCAGUCUUCUGAGUAUCUGGUACCACCAGUGUGUGCCACCAUACUUAGCUCCUUCUAAUAUUUAUCUUUUUUGUGAUGCUGGGGAUCAAACCCAGAGCCUUGGACAUGUUAAGCAAGUACUUUAUCACUGAGCUUUAUCCCCAGCAACCUAAUAUUUACUUACCGAUCUGCAUUUUCAUAUACACUUUUGUCAUGUAUACAAGAAACUUUAAUAACCCAUUAACAAAGCUGAGAUUGCCUCACUCUCUAGUUGGUUCUCUAGACAUUAUUUCACCAGUUCUGGGAAUGGAUACACCUUCGUUAAAUCCUGCUUGGUGCUAAGUAUGUGAUCCACCAGAAAGAACAACCCCACAGAGGAGCUCCAGGACCACAGAAGCAGCCUGGAGAGCUGCGCUUCUAGGGCAGAGCAUUCCAGGGAGUGUCACUCUCCCCUGUUCCCUACAAGACAGAAGUCUCUUGGGGGCUGGAAGCUGCUCUCCAGCAAGGGUGGCAAACUUCAUUUGAUGCUGGGCCCCAGGGUUAAGAUGAGCCAUGAGACCUACUCUAUCACAUACGAUUUUAUGCUUGCCUGGCUGUUAGUCAUUAACCUUUCAAAGCCUUGAAAAUACUGGCUGCCUCUUCCUCAUAGCAAGAUCUUUUUUUAAAAGUCCUUAAAUAAUAUUCUCCACUUUCAAAUUCUCUAGUGUCCUUUCUUCCCCAAAUCCAUUUGCUUCUUUUCCUAAUCUAGUCAGAUCAUAAAUGUGGCACAAAACAUAUAAAAAUUUAUUAAAAUGUGGAAACCCUUUGACUCUUAAGCCACCUCAAAUAUAAUUUGCCUGAAUGGUGUCAAAACUUAAUAUCCUUUAAAACUUUUUUGAUAAAACUGUCAUAGCUGACUUUUGAUAUUGAAAGCAAAUUCUUUCUGCACAUAUAGGUAUUCCACUGGGAGAUUUAUGUCACCGACUUCAAUCACAAAGCACACAGCCUCUUUAGAAUCUCCUUUAUUUAUAUGACCCAUCACAGGGACCACAGAAAACUCAAUUUCUCUGUAAAAUUCCUUCUAAAUAAUUCUAGCAUCCUUGUAACUCCAAAAUGGCUAUUGCUCUGGAUAUCUCUCCUCCCAGAUCAAAUUGCAUAGAAUGGGAUGAAUUGUUCUGUUGUGCUGUCAUGAAAUUAGACUGAAGUGAAUAUAGCUUAAAAUAUGCAUUUUGGGCAGUGUGGAACUGUUAUUCAUGUCGUUGGCACAGUGGGUGGGAAGUGCAAAUGUGAUCAUGUAUAUGGGGGAUGCUCUGAAAAUUGUAAAGAGCACACAAAUGUAAGGUAGGUAUUUUCUUUCCCAAAUUGCCAAGAAGUGUUUCCUUCCUACAGCCAGGGCUUGGUGACUACCAAGCACACAGUGAUUUGAGAUGAGUGAGGUCCAUGACAGUGACAUUUUGCUUUCCAAGCUUUUCAUUCUCUGAUGAGGC